GGGUGUGAAGGAGUCUCACUGCAACACCUGUCAUCCAUUGAUCGCCAGGGUUAAUUUGGCUGAUCUGGCUGGAGACAUGGGUGUCCCCUUCCUCCCUCACUGCUCCAUGUAUGGCCCUCCUGAAGUCGUGUGCUUCGUUGAAGCGCAUGAGAAGGAGGACCAUUCUUCAGUCAAGGGCAUACAGGCAGCAGCAUUCCCCUGCUAGAACCUCCAAAUAAGCUCUCAGUGUCUAUUUGGAGGACAACAUAGGGUAGUCAAGGUGCCAAGACUCCAGAUGCAUGCAAAUGAGGCACUGCCUGUGGCAGUCUGUCUUUCUCU
ensembl:misc_RNA 7SK 7SK RNA